UUUUAUAGUUAUUGUGCUGUUUAACUUUCUUAUAAAAGAGAGUGAGGAAUUAAAAAGGUGGCCACCGAACAGAAAGUUAAACUGCAAUAUACUAUAAUCUUUUUAGUUCUUGUUUACAUUUUUAACUAAUAAAUUAUGAAUAUAAAAUUUCAAAUUAAUUUAAAUUCAAAAAUAAAAGAACACCAACAUAGAUUUCUUAAACAUUAAAAUUUUACUAUAAAUUUAAAUUACAUUUAAUUAGCACAUUAUUUGAAGUUUUAUAGGAACCGAACAUUUGGCUGGAUCAUGGACUACCCACCGACGGAGAAUUUGUCAUUGAGCUGAUGGGAAAUGUGUCGGCACUCGGCUUCGUUUCAACCUGGAGGAAGAUUGGCAGCAGCAAAAAGAAAUUCAACUGAUAAUCAACUGUCCAAAUGAAGAAGAAUUUGUCACAAAGCUGAUGGGAAAUGUGUCGGCACUCGGCUUCGUUUCAACCUGGAAGGAAGAUUGGCAGGCAGCAGCAAAAAGAAAUUCAACUGAUAAUCAACUGUCCAAAUGAAGAAGAAUUUGUCACAAAGCUGAUGGGAAAUGUGUGAAGAUUGGCAGCAGCAAAAAGAAGCUCAUCUUAAUUUAGUUGUCCCCCCUUUACGCAUUAGCGCUCAUCUCUCAUCCACUCAUCCAACACAUUCACUAUCGCCGGCCGGCAACACACAUAUAUUAUACACAUUACCCGUUUUAUAUUAUAUAAUAUUAUUAACACCUACAUAGUUUAAGUUAUUGUAUAUUUUUUUUUAUUAUUUGAAUGCAUUCAUAUGAUCAGUUGUGUAUUUAGGAAUUUUAGGAUAAGAGCAACACAUAUUUUGCCGCCUCCCCCCAUUAAAAAAAAAUUAAAAAACUUCUACGCCGCGCAAUAGUGGUCAAACUGUUAAUACCAUAGAAUACCAUGUUAUAUAAAUACUAUAGUAUUUUAUAUCUCUAUGGCACACAUAUGUUGUGAAAAAUAUUAAUGAUUGACGUCACUGCGCCAGUACUCAUAAAGUACGAAAUAAAAAUUUGCCAUUCUGGACAACUGAAUCCAAAGCCCCUACCUAAAUACGCCCCUGCAUAUGAUGCGUUCUCGCUUACGAUGUGGAUUAGGCCUACUGGGGACACCACAAUAAAAAAAACGCGCCUCGUGUAAUACCUCAUAAAGUUAUUAAACAAUACGGACAAUGUAAU